rnacentral:rRNA from 1 species
UACGAAGGGGGCUAGCGUUGUUCGGAAUUACUGGGCGUAAAGCGCACGUAGGCGGACAUUUAAGUCAGGGGUGAAAUCCCGGGGCUCAACCCCGGAACUGCCUUUGAUACUGGGUGUCUUGAGGUCGAGAGAGGUGAGUGGAAUUCCGAGUGUAGAGGUGAAAUUCGUAGAUAUUCGGAGGAACACCAGUGGCGAAGGCGGCUCACUGGCUCGAACCUGACGCUGAGGUGCGAAAGCGUGGGGAGCAAACAGG